GGCCGGUUGUUCCGGGCCGCGGCCGCGCGGGCGGGGAGGCGGCUGCCGGCGCCGGGUGAUUUCGGUGCCAGCCCGCCGGCCCCGCUCGCCGUCCCCUGCCCGACGGGACCCCCACUAUCCCCGCUGCGCGGUCACCUGUUUCGCUUCGCACUGCGCCGUCGCCGCCCCUGUGGCCGUCGCUGCCAGCUCCUAGCUCCGCCAUGGUGCUCCGAUGACGCGCCCGGAGAGCCGCUCCGCCCUUUCCUCGGCUUGGCUCCCGCCGGCCCCCGCCUCCCAGGCCAGCGGCCCAGACAGGUUUAUCCUGUAGACCUUAUCACUGCAUAGCAGUAGUUCAUGCUCACAUACAACUGCACGUCUGCUCUCAGAAAGGCUUUCACCUGGCCAAAGACAAGGCAACCACGCUGGCCAAAGACAAGGCAACCACGCUCCCCAAAGACGCUCGCCCACCCUUACUACAAAAUUGAAGAACUUAACACUUCAUGAGAAUCAGCAUGAUGGAGUGAUAAGAACUAAGUGGAGAUCAGGCUUGAAAUCUCACACACCCUCCCUAUAACUGUUGGGCAGUCAUGAAUCUCUUGAGUCUGAGCUUCCUCUUGGCUAUUGUUACCUUUUUGGAAAUCACUUGGUCUCCACCCUCCCAGUACUUUGCACCAGAGGCAGCUCAGUGGCUGCGUUGCCUAACUUCUCAGGAAAGCUCUCUCCCUCCCUUCUUCUGAGUUGGCUAAAUCUCUUCCGCAUUUUUGUCCUGUAAAUGAUUGGGAAAGACCAAAUGGUGCCAAAGAAAAGAUCCCUUGAGACCACGACCCCUCCUUAUGGAAGAUUAAAACAAUCUGCCUUGGAAUACAGCAAGCUGUGACCACUUAAAUGUAAUGACUUUGUGUAGAAGAUGUUGCCACCCUGUCAGUCUUCAGCCUAUAUAAGUGAAACAUGAACUUCCUCACUUUGGAACACUGGCCCAUUCUUUUGGAGUCUGUGUUUCCUGGGUGGCUAUCCUCAAGCUUUGCACUGGAAUAAAUUCUAUACAUUAGGAUAUUUUCUAAAUCUCAUCAUUUAUGGUUGACAUCUCCUAACAAACUGGAGGUAAUGUCACAUGUCCAAUUUUUCUUUCAGUUUAGACAGAUUAAGACCUGUACUCUAGUAAAUCCCAUUCAAUUUUACUCCCCUUCGAGGCUCUAAACAUUCACACUUUUUAAAGAAAGAAAUAUCUCUUACCUCCAGGGACCUGCUCCAUGAAGAUUUUAAUGAAACCAUUCUCACUGAAAGAGCCCAGAUACUGGACAAUAUUUUUGUGCUUCAGGUGUUUAUGCAAUGCUAUUUCUUCAUGCAGGGGCUGAGAGUAUCUAAAAGACAUGCAAUUGUCAAUGAGUUAAUUAUGUAGCCAGACUUUACUGUAUAAAUUUAAACAAUACAAAUGGAAAAUGUCAGCCAAAUAUAUGUCCAUACGUAAAACCAAAACAACCAUUUAAGGCCUUUAUUUCUCCUAAGGUAAAUUCUAUAAGGUUGAAGGUGUGGUAGGAUCUGAGGGAAAAUGUGUCAGGUACUAAGCCAGUUGUAUACAUUAAUUCAUUUCCAUG